UGGUGGAGCGAUUUGUCUGGUUAAUUCCGUUAACGAACGAGACCUCAUCCUAUUAAUUACGUAAGUCUAAUUCAAGGAUUAGAACACACUUCUUAGAGGUACUGUUGGUGCUCCAAGUCAGCGGAAGUUUGAGGCAAUAACA
rnacentral:rRNA from 1 species